rnacentral:rRNA from 1 species
UACUGCAUUUUUUCUUACCAUGUGUUUUUCUUUUUUUGAAAACUUUGCUUUGGUAGGCCUUCUAUAUGGGGCCUGCCAGAGAUUAAACUCAACCAAAUUUUAUUUAAUGUCAACCGAUUAUUUAAUAGUCAAAACUUUCAACAACGGAUCUCUUGGUUCUCGCAUCGAUGAAGAACGCAGCGAAAUGCGAUAAGUAAUAUGAAUUGCAGAUAUUCGUGAAUCAUCGAAUCUUUGAACGCACAUUGCGCCCUUUGGUAUUCCAAAGGGCAUGCCUGUUUGAGCGUCAUUUCUCCCUCAAACCCUCGGGUUUGGUGUUGAGCGAUACGCUGGGUUUGCUUGAAAGAAAGGCGGAGUAUAAACUAAUGGAUAGGUUUUUUCCACUCAUUGGUACAAACUCCAAAACUUCUUCCAAAUUCGACCUCAAAUCAGGUAGGACUACCCGCUGAACUUAAGCAUAUCAAUAAGCGGAGG